rnacentral:misc_RNA from 1 species
UCUCCGUUGGUGAACCAGCGGAGGGAUCAUUACCGAGUUUACAACUCCCAAACCCAAUGUGAACCAUACCAAACUGUUGCCUCGGCGGGGUCACGCCCCGGGUGCGUCGCAGCCCCGGAACCAGGCGCCCGCCGGCGGGACCAACCAAACUCUUUCUGUAGUCCCCUCGCGGACGUUAUUUUUACAGCUCUGAGCAAAAAUUCAAAAUGAAUCAAAACUUUCAACAACGGAUCUCUUGGCUCUG